UGAAGUAAUGAAAAUUUUGUAAAAAAAUAAAAAUUCUUAUGAUUGGUAACUAUUCUACGUGACCUUCUUACUAAGUGUGACAAAGGGACAAAACAACACACUGUUGUACUUAAGUGGGAUAGAGAGAUAAAAUACCAUAUUGUUACGUAAGAGACAUUUAAUCUUAUUCAUAUUUUAUGAAGUUUUUUUUACAACUCUAUAAACCCUAAAAUCUAUAAAACUGGUGUAAGAAGAGCAUGAAGUUUAUAAAUCAUAAAGUAUAAUUCUAUUUUAUACAUGCAAAGAGUGUAAAAUAUGGCUGGAAUUUUCAUGUUUGUUUAUGUUAUGAUUAUCUUCCUUUGCCUAUUUCAUGAAGUUGAAAUGAGCUUUACAGGUAAAUCAUUUUUCAUCCUUUUCAAAUUUUAUUUCUUACUUCAUACGCAAAAUUUUAUCCCAUUUUUGUAACAAUAUUUUUUUCUUCUCUUUUUUAUUGCAGAGUAUAAUCUAUGUGCUCCUGCGAGUUCUCCAUGUCGUAUU
rnacentral:lncRNA from 1 species